rnacentral:rRNA from 1 species
UACAGAGGUCUCAAGCGUUGUUCGGAUUCAUUGGGCGUAAAGGGGUGCGUAGGCGGCGCGGUAAGUCGGGUGUGAAGUCUCGGAAGCUUAACUCCGAAACUGCAUUCGAUACUGCCGUGCUUGAGGACUGGAGAGGAGACUGGAAUUACGGUGUAGCUGGUGAAAUGCGUAGAGAUCGGGAGGAACACCGGUGGCGAAGGCGGGUCUGCUGGGCGAUUUC